UACGGAGGGGGCUAGCGUUGUUCGGAAUUACUGGGCGUAAAGCGCACGUAGGCGGCUUUGUAAGUUAGAGGUGAAAGCCCGGGGCUCAACUCCGGAAUUGCCUUUAAGACUGCAUCGCUCGAAUUGUGGAGAGGUAAGUGGAAUUCCGAGUGUAGAGGUGAAAUUCGUAGAUAUUCGGAAGAACACCAGUGGCGAAGGCGACUUACUGGACACAUAUUGACGCUGAGGUGGCGAAA
rnacentral:rRNA from 1 species